rnacentral:lncRNA from 1 species
CUUCUUUCAUCUGGAUUUCUGCAUGCAAAACCAACAGAAUCAACAUUGGACGAAGAGCCUACAGGCUUUAAAAUCACAUAGGGAAUCAUCUAUUUUUAGAUUGUUAACGAAUGUAUUUGGUUUUGAAUUUUCAUUUGGACACACCUCGUUAAUUUAUAGUAUAGCAAUGUCAAGGAGCAGAGAGAUGGGGUGGACUGCCCUGUAAUUCAGCAUCUUGCUGGCUUGUUUUUAAGGAUCUAUACAAACAGCCUCUGUGGUGUUAAUCACAGGCCCUGACUAAAUGACGAAGGCUGGGGCCACUGGGAAUGUCUUAUGGUCUCACACAGGAUGGGCCUGGUCCUCAGGACGGUUUGCUCAGAUUUUGGGCAGAAGCUGACCGUUCCAAUGGAAGCCAGCCUCAAAAUCUCCUUUCCUAUGACAUAACUGGAAAGUGCUGCUAACGGCAGCAGGGGAAACAGGGCAGCAGAGCUUGUUCAGGCAGGAGAGCAAGAUUCAGGCAUGACCAAUGACCAGAGGGUCCCUGAGAGUGAAGGAGACCAACAGGCCAGGCUGUGAGAAGGCAGGAGGGCACAGGAGCCAUUCCAGAAGGCUGACUGUGAGCAGGGACUAGAGAGGCUUCAUUGCACUUACUUAUGCGAACACUCUUAGGUCUUGGGAGGGCAACAAUGGGUCUCCUGAGAGGCCUAUGACAGGUUCCUGCUCUCCAGUGACAAGGCGGGGGGCAGAGAGCACACACCCCUUCAGGGCCAGCUGGAGCUGAGUCUGCAUGGCCUCUCCACAGCGGUGCCCUCCUGGAUUUGUCUCUCUGCCAGGAUUCUUUGUGGGGUACAACAUGCCCACACCACACCCCUUCCAAUACUGGAAUUCUUCCGGACAGGCCUACGAGAGCCUGAGGAAUAGGCCCCUGUGCUUUCUGCCAGGCCAGGGGUGCACUGGGACGUGUAACAUCUAGUGACAGCCUUGGGCAGAGGCCUGAGUCCCAAGCUUGGGUCAUGGGAGAUCACAGAACUAGAGCAGUGCAGCUAAGGCCAUUUUGAGGUGACAUCUAUGAGAAACAGCUAAGUCCAAGAGCCAUGAGGGGAGAUUUGAGAAUGUGAUGAAAAUGGUGGUUUUUAGAGAAGGGUUGGGAGGUGUGGGACGCUGGCAUGAGAAUCCUCUGGUGACUACGGCUUAGACCUGAAAUCCCGAGGGGCAAAGAGUGAAAACUCCAUUUAAGGUUGGUGAAAUCUGAGGGCACCAGGUCUUGGAAAGACAGGUGUUGGCCCAUCACCAGGAAAUGUGUGCCAGCCGGAGACCCUGGGCAGGGUGGGACAUGCCCCUUCUCAGUGCCCCCUGCUCCUCCUCUUCAGCUGGGUGCUGGGUGCAGAACAAAGAAAUACUUUGCUCUUGUUCUCUCUUAUAAGUGGGAGCUGAACAAUGUGAACACAUGGACCCAGGGAGGAGAACAACACACACUGGGGCCUGUCGGGGGGCCGGGCAGGGAGAGGGAGAGCAUCAGGAAAAAUAUGGACUUGCUGGGCUUAAUGCCUAGGCGAUGGGUUGAUAGGUGCAGCAAAUCACCAUGGCACACGUUUACGUAUGUAACAAACCUGCACGUCCUGCACAUGUACCCCGGAACGUAAAAGAAAACAAAAAGAAGAAAUGCUUUGCUCUCCAGAAUCCCUCUUUCCCCCAGACUGGACAGAAAGGAAGCCGAAGGAAACAUCUGAGUGGCUGGUGUCUCUCUUUUACAUUCCACCGUGGGAGGCAGGGGACUUUUUUGAAUUAGCAGUUUUCUUGUUCAAAGGGACAGUCUCCAGACGGCAUUGGGAGAAGUCUGUCUGUAACAUUCUGUGUCUUCUCAUGACCACAACUUAUCUGAGGAAUGACACUAUUUCCAGAACAGAUUCUGAUGGAGAUUUUGGACCAAUUUUGAAAAUGCUGUAGGGAUAAACAUUCUCAGAUGUGCUGAACUUGGGAUGAUGUGUGGAUACUUUAAGAGGAGCAAAACCAAACAAAACAAAAUAGCGGCCUUUUACUCAGACAGUGUUCCAGUCAGAGAUGGGCGUGCUGUGUAUGAGGGUGAAGUUCGUGGCGGUGCAGGAUAAAGGAGGAGGAAGACAAACUUUGAGCAUUUGCAGGUUGAUAUGUACUCACGAUCUUAUUUCAUCUUUCCAACAACCAGUGUGGAGUGGAAUAUUUUAUUUUUCAUGAAUUUUUUCCUCCACUUUAUUGAAGUAUAAUUAGUAUAUCAAAAAACUGCACAUAAUAAUGUAUCUAAUUUGGUGAGUUUGGACAAAUGUAUACAACUCAUGUUACUCUCUCCCCAAUGCAGAUAAUAAAUACGUCUAUCACCUCUUCAAAU